rnacentral:rRNA from 1 species
AGUCGAACGGCAGCACGGGAGCAAUCCUGGUGGCGAGUGGCGAACGGGUGAGUAAUACAUCGGAACGUGCCCAAUCGUGGGGGAUAACGUAGCGAAAGCUACGCUAAUACCGCAUACGAUCUACGGAUGAAAGCGGGGGAUCGCAAGACCUCGCGCGAAUGGAGCGGCCGAUGGCAGAUUAGGUAGUUGGUGGGGUAAAGGCUCACCAAGCCAACGAUCUGUAGCUGGUCUGAGAGGACGACCAGCCACACUGGAACUGAGACACGGUCCAGACUCCUACGGGAGGCAGCAGUGGGGAAUUUUGGACAAUGGGCGCAAGCCUGAUCCAGCAAUGCCGCGUGCAGGAUGAAGGCCUUCGGGUUGUAAACUGCUUUUGUACGGAACGAAACGGCGAGCUCUAAUACAGUUUGCUAAUGACGGUACCGUAAGAAUAAGCACCGGCUAACUACGUGCCAGCAGCCGCGGUAAUACGUAGGGUGCGAGCGUUAAUCGGAAUUACUGGGCGUAAAGCGUGCGCAGGCGGUGAUGUAAGACAGUUGUGAAAUCCCCGGGCUCAACCUGGGAACUGCAUCUGUGACUGCAUCGCUAGAGUACGGCAGAGGGGGAUGGAAUUCCGCGUGUAGCAGUGAAAUGCGUAGAUAUGCGGAGGAACACCGAUGGCGAAGGCAAUCCCCUGG